AUAUUUUGUGAAGAAUUCAUGAAUAGCAAAAAAUACUCAAAGACCAGAUAUGUCAAUACGAUGUAGCAUAUAUAAGUUGUUAUUUUUGAUUUCUUAUAAAUUUGGUAAAUAAAAUGUUCCUUUCAAGACAUACCUUAUAAUUUUGUAAACUAUAUGGUGCCCAUCCAAAUGCAAAUAUUCAGGCACUUUCAAUUGAUCAAUGAUGCGUAAGUAAUAAAAUAGCCGGUCGAUGACAAAACAUAAAAAUGAGAAUUGAAUUUGUUGUUAUUUCAAAGCGAUCCAUAAGAUCUUAAAGAAAGGAUUGCCUAUACGUCUUUCUAGCGUACGCGCGGUUCCUUUUGACUGGAGCCUGUCGCUACCUGGAUCAAUCAGCCUAUUCUAGUUCGCCUUGUGUCAUCCGAUUUUAGGGAAUUCAUUGGAUCGUGAAGUUGCUUCACACCUGGCCAUAUCGAGGGAAUGAAAAUGAACUUGUCCCUAAAAAAAGAAAUCAGCCUAUUCUAGUUCGCCUUGUGUCAUCCGAUUUUAGGGUAUUCAUUGGAUCGUGAAGUUGCUUCACACCCGGCCAUUCAACAUUUAACUCCAGUUACGACUUCCUCUCGGCCGGGCAUCUUCUCUCUUGCUUCGCUUGAGUUUCUCACUGUGGACCAAUUUCUAUCGCUUCACUCUCCACUUCCUUAUUCCUUCUUUUCAUCGGAAACCCAUUAGUGCUUUACUUUCUUUAUUAGUAGGCUAAUAGGGAGGUCUAUGAAAUGUAUACGAAAAGGAUGAUAUGGACCAAUUUCUAUCACUUCACUCUCCACUUCCUUAUUCCUUCUUUUCAUCGGAAACCCAGCAGAUCCCAAGAGCAUCAGUUGCAUACUUGCAGCGACCAAUUUCCGAUAUCCAAAAAUUUGAAACUUGGGAGAGAAGGAUUAGGAAUCACCAAAAAAUCAUCUCAUAGUCGUUCAUAAAAUUGAUCAAAAGAAAAAAGCUUCACCAUUCACUACAAGAAAAAAGCUUCACCAUUUAACCUGUGGCAAAUCACCAGUACAUGAAAAUCUAGUAAUGAGUGGACUGCCAAAGAAGACAGAAAGAUGUUAAUAUACAACUAAGUUAGAAGUUGCGUUUUCUAUGACUUUUGGAUUUUGUUGGUUAUUACUUAUUAAUGAGGU
rnacentral:lncRNA from 1 species